CUCUUUUGCUGAUAAAAAGGACGAGAAUCAACGGAGUAAAAAUAAUUAAUGUGCAGAAUUGAAACAAAGAAGGGUAGGUCCAUGUCCUUGAGCCGAUCCAGUCACUCAACUAGAAUGUUGGGUCAGCCACUUGUCUGAUGAGCAUGUGACAAUUUCCUCAUACUACCCAAACUCUCUUCUAAUUCAGACAGACAUUAAGCUUUCCAUGUCCCAAAGAUUGUAUCGUCUCCGGUCCCUGCCAUGGCCGCCUGCUGCUGCUGCUACCAGCCAAGAAUUUUGUUGGAGCUUCGCAUUUCCCAGGUUAGUUUACAGCGUUAUUGAUGAUUCGUUGCUUCUUCCUUUUCAUAAUGAAGACAUGGUUCUCCUUUUUUAUGGUAUAUUUAAUUUUUAUUGAUUGUCGGAAUAAUUGCUUCUUUCUUGUUGUUCAUAUAACAUAUUCUAUAGACUAUCCAUAAAUAGUUUUAACUUUCUAAAAAAUUUUUUUUAAAAAAAGUAAAAUUUUAGCAUAUCUUGUAGGCUGAUAACUUAACCAGCUUUAUGAUGAAUCGUGUUACUCAUAAUCAAAUAAAAUUUUAUGUAAUUUAUUUUUACGAUAUAAUUAUUAUAUAUAUAAUAAUUUUUUUAUUAUUAUUAAUUAUAAUGAAUAUUAAAUAAAUUUCAAAUCAUCAAUAUUCAAUAGUCAAAUACGUGAUCAUGGGAUGAUUUUUCUAAACAAAUGUGCACAGUCACCCACAUGUCAAAUUAGAAAUAGGAUGGUGCCAUGCUUCCACCUACUCAAUUUCUUGCAUCAACCUCUCAUUUGCAUACACAUUCAUCUGCCAUUCAUUUCUUAGGCAAUAUCACCAACCUCCUAACUUACUUAACUUCCUCUUUCUUUUAUAAUAUUUUUCUUUUACGUACCAAAUACCAAAAAUUUUAUUUAUAUAUCUUAUUACUUUAAGAAUAUUAGGUUGACAAAAUUCUUAAUAUUUUUUUUUACUUUAUUAGUAUUUAUAUUUUCAAAUCUAAAUCCCUGUAAAAUAUUAAAUGGGCUAAGGUUUGGUGGUGAAGCUACGAUAUAUCUUUGGUCGGGUCUGUCAUACAUGAUUCUGCUUGCUUUUUGCUGCUUCCCAUGCAUAUAAUAUCUAUUUUACUCUCAUGAAUAUUAACGUAAAAUUAAUGCCAAAUUUUUAAAAAUAAGCAAGAAACACAUCAGAAAUUAGCGAGGGUUAACUAGCUUAGAUGAUAUUUACUUAUAAACUUGACAUGAUUUCUUAAUGAAUAAAAAAUCAACAACUCAAAACAAUAUCUAACGUAUGGGAAAGUGAAAAUAAUAACUAAACGAGAGAAACUGUUUUGAUUUAGAAAAGUUUUGCUUAAUGCUUAUGUGCACGCAUGUAUAAAAAAUAAGAGUCAAGAGAAUGCUCAACAUGCAAAGACAUCAUUGUUUAUCUUUCAUGUUUCAACACAAAAAAUCACUAUCUUAAAAAAUAGAUAUCAAUUUAAUUAUUUUUUUUUAUUCAAAUAAAAUCUAUAACCCAUAAACAUGAUUAAUAAAAAUAAUCAAUUCAUAUAUGCAGCAUAUGAAAUGCAAAACAUGCAAUUUCUCACAUUUAUCUGGUAUCUUGUGCAUGAGGAAGGAAAUAUAAGUCAUGAAUUCCCAUUAAGCAAUGUCAUGUUUGCAUGUCGAUCGAAGAAAGAGGGCAAAGGAGAACAACAUUUUUAAUCUUAUGGAUAGCAAACUAUAUUAGAUCUAAAGGCACUUAAACACAUGCAGUAAACAAAGUGCAUCGAUAUGGCCGACGUCUACGUAUAUUCUAUCAACUUAAUAAUAAUAUUUACGUGUAUAUGCAGGUGGAAGUAGAAGCAUACACCGCUAUGACCACAAGACUGAUUAACAUUACACGAAUUAUAUGAUAUAUAUGUAGCUAGUCAAGCCAAUCUGAUGUCCUUA
rnacentral:lncRNA from 1 species